rnacentral:rRNA from 1 species
AAAUUGAAGAGUUUGAUCAUGGCUCAGAUUGAACGCUGGCGGCAGGCCUAACACAUGCAAGUCGAACGGUAACAGAAAGCAGCUUGCUGCUUUGCUGACGAGUGGCGGACGGGUGAGUAAUGUCUGGGAAACUGCCUGAUGGAGGGGGAUAACUACUGGAAACGGUGGCUAAUACCGCAUAACGUCGCAAGACCAAAGAGGGGGACCUUCGGGCCUCUUGCCAUCAGAUGUGCCCAGAUGGGAUUAGCUUGUUGGUGAGGUAACGGCU